rnacentral:rRNA from 1 species
AGAGUUUGAUCCUGGCUCAGAACGAACGCUGGCGGCAGGCCUAACACAUGCAAGUCGAACGCCCCGCAAGGGGAGUGGCAGACGGGUGAGUAACACGUGGGAAUCUUCCUAUCGGUGCGGAAUAGCUCAGGGAAACUUGAGGUAAUACCGCAUACGCCCCUUGGGGGAAAGAUUUAUCGCCGAUAGAUGAGCCCGCGUCUGAUUAGCUAGUUGGUGAGGUAAUGGCUCACCAAGGCGACGAUCAGUAGCUGGUCUGAGAGGAUGACCAGCCACACUGGGACUGAGACACGGCCCAGACUCCUACGGGAGGCAGCAGUGGGGAAUAUUGGACAAUGGGCGCAAGCCUGAUCCAGCCAUGCCGCGUGAGUGACGAAGGUCUUCGGAUUGUAAAGCUCUUUUGGCGGGGACGAUAAUGACGGUACCCGCAGAAUAAGCCCCGGCUAACUUCGUGCCAGCAGCCGCGGUAAUACGAAGGGGGCUAGCGUUGUUCGGAAUUACUGGGCGUAAAGCGCACGUAGGCGGAUUUGCAAGUCAGGGGUGAAAUCCCGGGGCUCAACCUCGGAACUGCCUUUGAUACUGCAGGUCUUGAGUCCGGAAGAGGUGAGUGGAAUUCCUAGUGUAGAGGUGAAAUUCGUAGAUAUUAGGAAGAACACCAGUGGCGAAGGCGGCUCACUGGUCCGGUACUGACGCUGA